rnacentral:miRNA from 1 species
GUGUGUGUGUGUGUGUGUGUGUGUGUGUGUGUGUGUGUGUGUGUGUGUGUCCUCACGAGCUCGGGAUACACAUAUAAUACACACGCACGCACGCACGCACACACGCACACCG